AACAAGGGACAAAAGGGCUGCCCUGAGGAGACUUGGGAAAGUGACAUUUCCUCAGGCUCGAGGACAUCCCGAGUUCUGCUCAUGAAACGGAGACAACCAUGUGUGGUGCCUGCAUUCUUGGCCUGUGGGGAGUGGAAAGGAGACAAAGAGUAAAACACGGUGGGAAAGAAGACAAAGAGGUUAAGAAAAGCAAAUGUGCCUACUCCAGGUAAUUUUGACUUAGGAACCCUGAUUAACUUACACAC
rnacentral:lncRNA from 1 species